rnacentral:rRNA from 1 species
UGGGGAAUCUUGCACAAUGGGCGAAAGCCUGAUGCAGCGACGCCGCGUGCGGGAUGAAGGCCUUCGGGUUGUAAACCGCUUUCAGCAGGGACGAGGCCGCAAGGUGACGGUACCUGCAGAAGAAGCCCCGGCUAACUACGUGCCAGCAGCCGCGGUAAUACGUAGGGGGCAAGCGUUAUCCGGAUUCAUUGGGCGUAAAGCGCGCGUAGGCGGUCUGUUAGGUCAGGAGUCAAAUCUGGGGGCUCAACCCCUAUCCGCUCCUGAUACCGGCAGGAUUGAGUCUGGUAUGGGAAGGUGGAAUUCCGAGUGUGGCGGUGAGAUGCGCAGAUAUUUGGAAGAACACCAGUGGCGAAGGCGGCCUUCUGGGCCAUGACUGACGCUGAGGCGCGAAAGCGAGGGGAGCGAACAGG